AGUGAACGCUGGCGGCAUGCCUAACACAUGCAAGUCGAACGGAAGCACAGUGAGAGCGUGCUUCUACGGGUGGCGGCUGGCGGGCGGGUGAGGAGUAGAUCAGAAACUUCUUUUUCUUGGGGAAUUACGGAGAGAAACUUAUGCUAAUACCGCAUACAUUCUACCGGUGAGAGCAGGAGUGCUUGGCACCUUUCCUGUUUCAUAGAGACGGUUUCGCGCCGCAUUAGCGAGUUGGUAAGGUAACGGCUUACCAAGGCGACGAUGCGUAGCUGAUCUGAGAGGAUGAUCAGCCACACUGGAACUGAGACACGGUCCAGACUCCUACGGGAGGCAGCAGUGGGGAAUCUUCGACAAUGGGCGAAAGCCUGAUCCAGCAAUGCCGCGUGAGUGAAGAAGGCCUUCGGGUUGUAAAGCCCUUUUGUUGGGAAAGAAAAGCAGCGGAAUAAUCUACCGCUGUUUUGACGGUACCCAAAGAAUAAGCACCGGCUAACUACGUG
rnacentral:rRNA from 1 species